UCAGCAUCCAUAUCAUAUGUUUUACAAAAUUUAGUCUAAAUAAUUGGUCUCAUUACCCUUUCACUGAGAUAUUGGACAACGUGCUUAAAAACGAAAUAACUCGUAUAUAUAGAGUAAACCCCACAAAAAUUAAAAUAGUCGGUUUAAAUUAUUAAAAUAUACAAAAUAAACCUCAUAAAAAAUAAAUGGUGAUAUGAAUAUGCUCUUAUUGACAUACCCCAUCCCGAAGGAGGGCAUGCUGGCCGUCACGUGAGAGUGACGUAACCAUUUGCACAGUACGGAAGCUUUAAGAUACAAUUUAAGUUGAUACACCCGAAGGUGAGUCCUAAUUUUGUCCAAUCUGUCAGAACACCGUCGAAUUCCUCGUAGUCACCACACCUUUGUGAUUCCUGAACCUGGAGGGGCGCAAAACCAAAAUUGAGUGGGUCAGUAAAACAAUUCUUUUCCAAAUCCAAACAAUUUUCAAAACGUUGUAACCCCUCUCCGUAAAACCUGUAUAUUUUCCCAGAAAUGUAAAAUAUAAAUAUACAUAUAUAUUCUCAAAACUUCAAGUCGUUAACUCAACAUUUUUCAUAACAAUUAUGCCAUGCCCACAUCAUCUCAACAUUUCUCAUAUUAAUUAUGCCAUGCCACAUCAUCUCAACAGUAAUAAGGUAUGAAUGCAUCAACAUAAUCAUAUCAGGUGCAAGAAAGUAAUCAACCGUAGGCCCUCUAAUAGCCCUGUACGGUUGAACCUAGAGCUCAAAAUCUAUCAUUAUCACUCUACCGGAGUCACCUCUGUGACCCGUCCGGCCUUCUGCACACAAGUUACGCUCUAGUGCUUCUCAUAAGUCAUCUGUGCACAUAAUCUAAGGUCACCCACCAGUCGGAAUCUCACUAACACUCUCGCGACUGGUCUGUCGUACCCACUCCGCGUGGACUGUACGACUAGCAUCUACUUGGAUCCAAGGCGAGCGUGCGAUGCGGUGAAUACUAUAAGCACUAAACCAUGGUGCAGGAUUUGAGCUCAAUAUAUAUCAUCAUCAUAAUAACAGUAAUUAAAUUCUUACCUGUGCGUCCACCGCACCAAUUCAUACAUAUGCAUCAUAAAUCAAUUCUUACCUGUGCGUCCACCGCACCAAUUCAUACAUAUGCAUCAUAUAUUAAUUCAUGCAUGGCAUUUCAACUCACAUUUCUAUAUACUUUUCAUAUCAAUUCUAUGCAUGGUAUUUCACUUCCCGUUUUUCCACAUAACUCAUAUGCAUUUCAUUUUAAACAUAUUUUCAUUUCAAUUCAAUUUCUGGGAAACGUCAAGUAUAUAUAUAUACGGAAACAAACUGCCCACUCACCUGGAGUUCGCCCUACAACUCCCUAGCACAAUACGCCAAGGCGUCAUGACGAUCGCCGCCUAGAAUAGUAAUCAAAUCCAGGCUCAGAAUUCAUAUCGAUAAAAUAUAAUAACUUAUAUAAAAUACGUCACUACGUAGUUCGAUCCGGAAGAUCUGCCACUCAGAUUUUAAAUCCAUAACUUCCAGAGGUCCACAAUAUAUCUCUAGGAUAACAUCCUAAAAUUUCAUUACCAUCCAACGGUUGGAUCUCCGUCAAUUUCCAAAACUAAGUGACGGUUAACAUUUUAUAUUAUGGACUUACAAUUCCAAUUCCGGAAGAUCCGUAACUCGGAUUCCCAAUCCGUAAGUUCCAAUAAUCCUCAAAUAUUACGUAUUACAACGUAUCAAAGUUUGGUGACAAUCCAACGGUCGGAUCAUCAAUUCACAUUUUCACCAAAACUAUAAAACGUUAUUCGAACACCUAACCAACAAUCCUUAAUAACUUUCUCAUACGGUGUUCAAUUUAGGUAUAUGAAUAUACCACAGUGAUCUACUCGACGUCACGGACGUCGACAUAUUUUUAAAAUAUUUUAUUUUUAUUUUUUAUUUUACUGUAGCACCAUCUUCUUCCUUGGGUCGCCGGACUGGUUUUUCCGGCGGCCGUUUUUCCGGGCAGUUUUUUCAAAUUGCCAUAACUUUGUCAUUUCUCAACGAAAUCAAGUGAUUCAAAAACGAAAGUUGUAGCCCUUGAAGAGACAAAGAGAAUGGUACCUUGCACAACACCUAGUUCGCCGUGGUUUGGCCGGAAACUGCCUCGAAAGCCUCGGAGGUCGCCGGAAACUGGGUAUUUUUCAAAUGAGUAUAACUUCUUCAAUACUCAACGAAAUUGAGUGAAACAAAAAGGAAAGUUGUAGUACUUGACGAGACGAAGAGAUUGAUACCUACCUCGACUCUUAACUCGCCGGGGAUUCGCCGGAAAAAGCCUCGAAAGCUCCGGCCAAACUUUGAACUUGUCGAUCUCAGUGUUCUUACGUCCAAAAACUUCCCACGAAGCACUCCGAGCUUCCUUGGGACCUCACUAAGCUCACUAUAAGCUUAGAAUUCCCUGAAACACAACAUUUUACGUUCACAUGAACAGUGACCAAAAAUGGAGGUUCGGGUUUCACAUGAUUCCGAAGGUUUCACUUCCUAAAACUAGUACCAAUGAACUCAGAAUGACGAAAGGAUGAAGAUGCAUACCUUAGUUGCCUCGAUCCGUCGAGUUUUGGAGGAUUUGGGUGUAUGCCGUACGUUUUGGGUGAGAGAGAGUGAGAGAGAAAGAGGAAGUCGUGAGGGAGGAGAGAGAAUGAACUGAGAGAGAGACAAGGUACGGGAAAGAGGGAGAAAAUUGAGGGGUGUGGGAUCCUACCCAAUCCCCAACUACAAAAUUCUAACAUAAAUUUAAAUCUAAGUCUCCACUCUACUUACCAAAUUUUAGGAGCUUAGAUAUAACGAACAUAAAAAUUAUACCUUAGCCACGUAUUAGGGGCAUUUUCGUAAUUUCACAUCCUCGGAAUUAAAAAUUCCGGGACGGGCUGUGACAAUCUUCCCUCCUUAUAGAAUUUCGUCCCCGAAAUUCCAACAACCAAUCCAAACAUCUACUCAUACCAACCUCGGUAAAUCUCUCUUAUCCGAUUCUCUUUCUCCCACGUAAUUUUCUUCCACUGAAUGAUUUCCUUCACAAAGCUUUUACCACUUACUCUGUCUUAAUUCUCAAGACUUUCUUUUUCCAAUCCAAAGUCGUCCUUGGUUCCUUAUCAAUUCGAAUCCAAUUUAAUUCUCAAUAGUUGCACCAGAAUCUCAUGUGACGAAUCUGCCACCUAGUGACAACGUAUCGAACCCAAAAUACAUUAAGUACCUUAGCCAACUCUGAAGACAUCACCACUUGUAUGCAACUUUAUUGAUUCCUUUAGUGAUCAAAAAUGGUCUGAUGUGUCUAAAUCUUAUUUUGUCUCCUUUCCAACCCGAAUUAUACUUUUCUAUGGUGAACACUUCGAAAAUAUAAAACCAUUUGUCUUAUACACUCGAUUAGUGGCAUAUCCCUCUGUUAAUCUCUUUUGCCUCAAUCUGCUGACCAAAUAAAACUGUCGAAUGGUAUGAUAAAUCUUAUUACUUUUGGAAUAUUACAGAAGUUAAACAAUGUACUUCGUCCAAAAUUGCUUACUUUAAAUCCUUAGCAUUAGGCACAUACUUUUUGUUUUCUUGUAUCCACAUACCAUUUGAUUCACGAAUCAUGUACUCAUUCUUUUUCCCUUCUUUCUCUGCCUUGGUUAAUUCUUAAAUUUCCUCGUCAAACAUUUAAGUUUCGAGUACGACCUUACCAAAUAGGCCUAACUUGAAAUUUAACAAGUAUAACUUCUUCUCGAUCUUUCAUUCUUAACUUUUCUUCCAUUGGUUUUCAAUCCACAAGAUGAUACUCUUGGCAAACGUGCCAGAUAUUAAUCUUACUGUAGUCUUCUCACCAAGUGCUUCAGCUAGAACAAAUUUUACGAUCACCUUGAUCGUACAAUCAUGUUCAUUAAGCAAUACAAUUCACUUUCGCUGCCUCAUAUCAAAAUCCUUCCAAGUAAUGGAUAUUGAAGACUUUUUGGAUUCGUAAAAAUCUUGCAUUCUUACCAAAUAUAUAAUGUCUCCAUAACUUCACAGUAAGAAUGGUAAUCAUGACUUCCAAGUCACUCGUAGGGUAAUUCAUCUCAUGAGGUUCCAUUUAUCAUGAAACGUAUGCAAUCACCCUAACAUUUGCAUCAACAUGCCUCCAAUACCAUUCAAGAAACAUCACUAAAAAUUUAUGAUUACCACUAUUCUCUGGGAAUACCAAAUUACGUGCAUGAGUGAGGAAAUACUUCAGUUGUUGAAUCAUUUGCUCACAAUUUCCUUCCCACUCAUACAUAACCUCUUUUCUCAACAGUCUCGUUAAUGACAAAGCAAUGACUAAAAAUUCUUUCACAACCAUCCAAAAUAGCCUGGUAAGCUAAGAAAUUCCAAAUCUCAAUUACGACUCGUGGUUGUUCCAAAUUCUCAAUUUCUGCUAUCUUUUAAGAAUUCAUUUGAAUACCUUAAGCAGAUAUAACCAAUCUCAGAAUGCCACUUGAUUCAUCCAACAUUCGCAUUUGCUAAACUUAGCAUACAACCAACGUUCUCUCAAUCUUUGCUUCACCGACUUAAUACGUUUACAUGCUCUGCUCUGGCUCAGAAUAUGCCAGAAUAUCUUCAAUGAAAAUGAUAUCAAUUUAUCAAGGCAUUAUUGGAAUACUUCAUCCAUCAACUCAUAAAACAGCAUGAGUAUCCAUAUAGCAUCACCAAACUUCAUAAAGACUAUAACAAGUCCAGAAAACCAUCUUAUGAUCAACGUCACUUAUAAUAUUCAAUUGGUAGAACCAGAUCUCAAUUCAAUCUUUGAAUCUUCGCAAUUACUUCUGAGCUGGUUAAAUAAACAUCAGUACAUCACCAUGGAUAACGGUUCUCAAUCGUUACCCGACUCCAUUGUCUAUAAUCAAUGAACAAUCUCAAGAUCCAUUUUUCUUCCUCACCAACAAACUGGGCUCCUCAAAAGUGUUGUACUAGGUUGAAUAAAACUUUUAUCAACCAAUUCUCUCAACUGAAUUUCCAAUUCCCUUAACUCAUCCUGAACCAAUCUCCAAUAUAAAUUUAUACCUGGCAACAAAUCAAUAAUGAACCUCAUAUCUCUGCCUGAAGGCAAUCCAGGUAUACUUUCAAGGAAGACAUCAAGAAAAGUCUAACUCUUUCGACAUUAUUCACACUACUCCAAACAACAUCAUUUAGCACCACAUGAGCUAAGUAUUUUUGACAGCCUUUCGAAAACAAUCUCUUUGCUCUCACAGCAUAAAUAACAGCCUGACUCAAUCCAUUUUGCAUACUUACAAAAGUAAUCUCUGUUCAUCCAUAUCGAUGGAAAGUACUGGUUUCCCGUAACAUUCCGUCUUGUCACAAUUAUAACCAACCAAUCUAAUGGAACAGAAUUAACUGAUACAAUAUAUAUUCUAUUAUUAUUAAGCAUUCUAAAUAAGUACAAUACUAACAUAAAAUAAUCUACCGGUUUGCUUGCUUAACGAAUCCACGAAUGAGUUAUUAAUAUUACGGUCUGCAGCCCGCAAUACUGAUAAAUCAUCGUUGUCUCGAUAAGUAGGCAACCACUCUCAAAGAUAUAACAUUACUAUUUUGUUACUCAAUGCAAAAUACAUACACUCGUCUCAACUACAUUUAUUUACUACUCUCUAGGUAAUAACAUACAUAAUAAGAAAUAUAUCAGCCGAAGUCAACUAGAAUGACCAAUACGGCUGAUUCAACUCUUAUCUCAAUAAUACGUCGGCCGGAUCCACUCCGCGUGGUCGGUAUGGCUGAGCCUAUAACUCACCAUUUCUCAUGUGUCAAUCGAAUCCACUUCUCAUGGUCUGUACGACUGAACAUAUAACUCAUCAAAUCUCUCUGUACUCACAGUCAAUCCGACCAAACUACUAAAUUCAUAAACUUGUUGAAUCAACACUAUGAUAUCAUGGAAAAUUGUUGAGUACAACUGAUUCUAGGGACGAUUCACAAUUCUGUGUCCCCUCUGUUCACAUAAACACAUUCAUUAAUUUCACAUUUCCCAAAGUGUUAAUUUUUUUUUUUUUUUUUUUUUUUUUUUUUUUUUUUUUUUUUUUUUUUUUUUUUUUUUUUUUUUUGUACCUGCUGCACAAGGUACAUUUCCUUUACUCGAGACACCUUGUCUCAAAUAUCUGGGAUUACCAGUAUAUCCAUCACUUUUACUCUGACCAGCGACAUUAAAACCUCAGCUGGAAGAAUUAACUCUAGCUUCACUUCUUUCGAAGCUCUGAAUCUUUCUAUAUCCUUGAUAUGACGAAUCAUUGACUUUAUCGUCUUCUUUUGAGUCUCAUUCAUUUCUUAUUCUUCUUUAUUCUCGUUGCUCAUGUUCUCAGAGUCCUCAAGACUCAACAGCAUCUCGCAUACUCCUGAUAAGAAUUACAAUGGAUAGUGGUCACCCAAAAUACCACUUCCCUUUUGCCACCCAGCCUAAAACAACAUAACACCUCCACCAAAUUCACAACAAUAUCUGGAUAGAACGAGGCAAGUCUGAAAACUUUCUAUAAUAUCCCUCGAUCAUCACCUUCCUUGUCUCAUAUUUGUAAACUCUUGUUUACCACCAUCGAUAAAUGCCGGAGGGAUAAACUUUUCCUUUAAACAAGUCCUUAAACAAUUCUCAAUCGACUGAUUCCUAUGGUGACAACAAUUCAUACUCCUGUUUCCACCAGGAUACAAAUUCAUAACCAAAACCAGGUAGUCGUCUCGACCCCUUGUCAGAAGGAAAUUUCCUUUGACUUGCAUAAUCUGAAACAUCUUUUCCAAUUGGUUAAACCGUUACUUCGCUCCCUCAGGUUCAUCAUUUCAUAAGGUGAUUCAAAUUCAACUCAUAACCCAUCUUAAAAUGUCCCUUUUUAUAAUAGACUGAAUCACCAUAAUAAUAGUUUUCCCUAAACCGCUAUAUUAGGGAGACUAAAUUCCUCUAACUACGUGGUUUGCUACGAGGCGGUGUAGUUCUGACAGAAUUCACUAUAAACUUCUCAAGAUGUCCAAGAUUGCAACCAUGCUCUGAUACCAACUGACAUACCCCAUCCCGAAGGAGGGCAUGCUGGCCGUCACGUGAGAGUGACGUAACCAUUUGCACAGUACGGAAGCUUUAAGAUACAAUUUAAGUUGAUACACCCGAAGGUGAGUCCUAAUUUUGUCCAAUCUGUCAGAACACCGUCGAAUUCCUCGUAGUCACCACACCUUUGUGAUUCCUGAACCUGGAGGGGCGCAAAACCAAAAUUGAGUGGGUCAGUAAAACAAUUCUUUUCCAAAUCCAAACAAUUUUCAAAACGUUGUAACCCCUCUCCGUAAAACCUGUAUAUUUUCCCAGAAAUGUAAAAUAUAAAUAUACAUAUAUAUUCUCAAAACUUCAAGUCGUUAACUCAACAUUUUCAUAACAAUUAUGCCAUGCCACAUCAUCUCAACAUUUCUCAUAUUAAUUAUGCCAUGCCACAUCAUCUCAACAGUAAUAAGGUAUGAAUGCAUCAACAUAAUCAUAUCAGGUGCAAGAAAGUAAUCAACCGUAGGCCCUCUAAUAGCCCUGUACGGUUGAACCUAGAGCUCAAAAUCUAUCAUUAUCACUCUACCGGAGUCACCUCUGUGACCCGUCCGGCCUUCUGCACACAAGUUACGCUCUAGUGCUUCUCAUAAGUCAUCUGUGCACAUAAUCUAAGGUCACCCACCAGUCGGAAUCUCACUAACACUCUCGCGACUGGUCUGUCGUACCCACUCCGCGUGGACUGUACGACUAGCAUCUACUUGGAUCCAAGGCGAGCGUGCGAUGCGGUGAAUACUAUAAGCACUAAACCAUGGUGCAGGAUUUGAGCUCAAUAUAUAUCAUCAUCAUAAUAACAGUAAUUAAAUUCUUACCUGUGCGUCCACCGCACCAAUUCAUACAUAUGCAUCAUAAAUCAAUUCUUACCUGUGCGUCCACCGCACCAAUUCAUACAUAUGCAUCAUAUAUUAAUUCAUGCAUGGCAUUUCAACUCACAUUUCUAUAUACUUUUCAUAUCAAUUCUAUGCAUGGUAUUUCACUUCCCGUUUUUCCACAUAACUCAUAUGCAUUUCAUUUUAAACAUAUUUUCAUUUCAAUUCAAUUUCUGGGAAACGUCAAGUAUAUAUAUAUACGGAAAACAAAACUGCCCACUCACCUGGAGUUCGCCCUACAACUCCCUAGCACAAUACGCCAAGGCGUCAUGACGAUCGCCGCCUAGAAUAGUAAUCAAAUCCAGGCUCAGAAUUCAUAUCGAUAAAAUAUAACUUAUAUAAAAUACGUCACUACGUAGUUCGAUCCGGAAGAUCUGCCACUCAGAUUUUAAAUCCAUAACUUCCAGAGGUCCACAAUAUAUCUCUAGGAUAACAUCCUAAAAUUUCAUUACCAUCCAACGGUUGGAUCUCCGUCAAUUUCCAAAACUAAGUGACGGUUAACAUUUUAUAUUAUGGACUUACAAUUCCAAUUCCGGAAGAUCCGUAACUCGGAUUCCCAAUCCGUAAGUUCCAAUAAUCCUCAAAUAUUACGUAUUACAACGUAUCAAAGUUUGGUGACAAUCCAACGGUCGGAUCAUCAAUUCACAUUUUCACCAAAACUAUAAAACGUUAUUCGAACACCUAACCAACAAUCCUUAAUAACUUUCUCAUACGGUGUUCAAUUUAGGUAUAUGAAUAUACCACAGUGAUCUACUCGACGUCACGGACGUCGACAUAUUUUUAAAAUAUUUUUAUUUUUAUUUUUUUAUUUUACUGUAGCACCAUCUUCUUCCUUGGGUCGCCGGACUGGUUUUUCCGGCGGCCGUUUUCCGGGCAGUUUUUCAAAUUGCCAUAACUUUGUCAUUUCUCAACGAAAUCAAGUGAUUCAAAAACGAAAGUUGUAGCCCUUGAAGAGACAAAGAGAAUGGUACCUUGCACAACACCUAGUUCGCCGUGGUUUGGCCGGAAACUGCCUCGAAAGCCUCGGAGGUCGCCGGAAACUGGGUAUUUUUCAAAUGAGUAUAACUUCUUCAAUACUCAACGAAAUUGAGUGAAACAAAAAGGAAAGUUGUAGUACUUGACGAGACGAAGAGAUUGAUACCUACCUCGACUCUUAACUCGCCGGGGAUUCGCCGGAAAAAGCCUCGAAAGCUCCGGCCAAACUUUGAACUUGUCGAUCUCAGUGUUCUUACGUCCAAAAACUUCCCACGAAGCACUCCGAGCUUCCUUGGGACCUCACUAAGCUCACUAUAAGCUUAGAAUUCCCUGAAACACAACAUUUUACGUUCACAUGAACAGUGACCAAAAAUGGAGGUUCGGGUUUCACAUGAUUCCGAAGGUUUCACUUCCUAAAACUAGUACCAAUGAACUCAGAAUGACGAAAGGAUGAAGAUGCAUACCUUAGUUGCCUCGAUCCGUCGAGUUUUGGAGGAUUUGGGUGUAUGCCGUACGUUUUGGGUGAGAGAGAGUGAGAGAGAAAGAGGAAGUCGUGAGGGAGGAGAGAGAAUGAACUGAGAGAGAGACAAGGUACGGGAAAGAGGGAGAAAAUUGAGGGGUGUGGGAUCCUACCCAAUCCCCAACUACAAAAUUCUAACAUAAAUUUAAAUCUAAGUCUCCACUCUACUUACCAAAUUUUAGGAGCUUAGAUAUAACGAACAUAAAAAUUAUAC
rnacentral:lncRNA from 1 species